GAACGAACGCUGGCGGCGCGCCUAAUACAUGCAAGUCGAGCGAGAAGACGUAGCAAUACGUUUGUAAAGCGGCGAACGGGUGAGGAAUACAUGGGUAACCUACCCUCGAGUGGGGAAUAACUAGCCGAAAGGUUAGCUAAUACCGCGUACGCUCCUUGGACUUCGGUUCAGGGAGGAAAGCGAUACCGUGGGUAUCGCGCUCUUGGAUGGGCUCAUGUCCUAUCAGCUUGUGGCGAGGUAACGGCUCACCAAGGCUUCGACGGGUAGCUGGUCUGAGAGGACGAUCAGCCACACUGGCACUGCGACACGGGCCAGACUCCUACGGGAGGCAGCAGUAAGGAAUAUUGCGCAAUGGGCGAAAGCC
rnacentral:rRNA from 1 species